rnacentral:rRNA from 1 species
GAUGAACGCUGGCGGCGUGCCUAAUACAUGCAAGUCGAGCGAACGGACGAGAAGCUUGCUUUUCUGAUGUUAGCGGCGGACGGGUGAGUAACACGUGGAUAACCUACCUAUAAGACUGGGAUAACUUCGGGAAACCGGAGCUAAUACCGGAUAAUAUUUUGAACCGCAUGGUUCAAAAGUGAAAGACGGUCUUGCUGUCACUUAUAGAUGGAUCCGCGCUGCAUUAGCUAGUUGGUAAGGUAACGGCUUACCAAGGCAACGAUGCAUAGCCGACCUGAGAGGGUGAUCGGCCACACUGGAACUGAGACACGGUCCAGACUCCUACGGGAGGCAGCAGUAGGGAAUCUUCCGCAAUGGGCGAAAGCCUGACGGAGCAACGCCGCGUGAGUGAUGAAGGUCUUCGGAUCGUAAAACUCUGUUAUUAGGGAAGAACAUAUGUGUAAGUAACUGUGCACAUCUUGACGGUACCUAAUCAGAAAGCCACGGCUAACUACGUGCCAGCAGCCGCGGUAAUACGUAGGUGGCAAGCGUUAUCCGGAAUUAUUGGGCGUAAAGCGCGCGUAGGCGGUUUUUUAAGUCUGAUGUGAAAGCCCACGGCUCAACCGUGGAGGGUCAUUGGAAACUGGAAAACUUGAGUGCAGAAGAGGAAAGUGGAAUUCCAUGUGUAGCGGUGAAAUGCGCAGAGAUGUGGAGGAACACCAGUGGCGAAGGCGACUUUCUGGUCUGUAACUGACGCUGAUGUGCGAAAGCGUGGGGAUCAAACAGGAUUAGAUACCCUGGUAGUCCACGCCGUAAACGAUGAGUGCUAAGUGUUAGGGGGUUUCCGCCCCUUAGUGCUGCAGCUAACGCAUUAAGCACUCCGCCUGGGGAGUACGACCGCAAGGUUGAAACUCAAAGGAAUUGACGGGGGCCCGCACAAGCGGUGGAGCAUGUGGUUUAAUUCGAAGCAACGCGAAGAACCUUACCAAAUCUUGACAUCCUUUGACAACUCUAGAGAUAGAGCCUUCCCCUUCGGGGGACAAAGUGACAGGUGGUGCAUGGUUGUCGUCAGCUCGUGUCGUGAGAUGUUGGGUUAAGUCCCGCAACGAGCGCAACCCUUAAGCUUAGUUGCCAUCAUUAAGUUGGGCACUCUAAGUUGACUGCCGGUGACAAACCGGAGGAAGGUGGGGAUGACGUCAAAUCAUCAUGCCCCUUAUGAUUUGGGCUACACACGUGCUACAAUGGACAAUACAAAGGGCAGCGAAACCGCGAGGUCAAGCAAAUCCCAUAAAGUUGUUCUCAGUUCGGAUUGUAGUCUGCAACUCGACUACAUGAAGCUGGAAUCGCUAGUAAUCGUAGAUCAGCAUGCUACGGUGAAUACGUUCCCGGGUCA